rnacentral:rRNA from 1 species
UACGUAGGGAGCAAGCGUUGUCCGGAAUCAUUGGGCGUAAAGCGCGCGUAGGUGGCCUCAUAAGUCCGCUGUGAAAGUCAAAGGCUCAACCUUUGAAAGCCGGUGGAUACUGUGGGGCUAGAGUACGGAAGAGGCGAGUGGAAUUCCUGGUGUAGCGGUGGAAUGCGCAGAUAUCAGGAGGAACACCAAUAGCGAAGGCAGCUCGCUGGGACGUUACUGACGCUGAGACGCGAAAGCGUGGGGAGCAAACAGG